CAAACAGCAUCAUGACCUUGUAUCUGCUCAUGUGCAGAUGCAGGGAUGAGGGAAUCCGGUGAGAAUCCGGAGCAAUACCCGUUGCCGUAUGUGUGGAAGCCUGUUGCUCAUGGCGCGAGCCGGUCAUUGGGAGCGAUCCUGAGAAGGCGGAGCGGCAGACAUUGGACAGAUUUCAUCUGUCUUGAACCACGCGAGCCGGAAGACCUAUGAUGUUCAAGAGGGUUCG
rfam:Firmicutes bacterium ASF500 genomic scaffold adhIg-supercont1.2, whole genome shotgun sequence.